ACUACGGGUGGCAGCAGUGGGGAAUAUUGCACAAUGGGGGAAACCCUGAUGCAGCGACGCCGCGUGAGCGAUGAAGUAUUUCGGUAUGUAAAGCUCUAUCAGCAGGGAAGAAAAUGACGGUACCUGACUAAGAAGCCCCGGCUAACUACGUGCCAGCAGCCGCGGUAAUACGGAGGGGGCAAGCGUUAUCCGGAUUCACUGGGUGUAAAGGGAGCGUAGGCGGCGGUGCAAGCCAGAUGUGAAAGCCCGGGGCUCAACCCCGGGACUGCAUUUGAAACUGUGCUGCUAGAGUGUCGGAGAGGCAGGCGGAAUUCCUGGUGUAGCGGUGAAAUGCGUAGAGAUCAGGAGGAACACCAGUGGCGAAGGCGGCCUGCUGGACGAUGACUGACGUUGAGGCUCGAAAGCGUGGGGAGCAAACAGGAUUAGAUACCCCAGUAGUC
rnacentral:rRNA from 1 species